rnacentral:rRNA from 1 species
AGUGAACGCUGGCGGUAGGCCUAACACAUGCAAGUCGAACGGCAGCACAGUCAGAGCUUGCUCUUACGGGUGGCGAGUGGCGGACGGGUGAGGAAUACAUCGGCAUCUACUUUUUCGUGGGGGAUAACGUAGGGAAAAUUACGCUAAUACCGCAUACGACCUACGGGUGAAAGCAGGGGAUCUUCGGACCUUGCGCGAUCGAAUGACCCGAUGUCGGAUUAGCUAGUUGGCGGGGUAAAGGCCCACCAAGGCGACGAUCCGUAGCUGGUCUGAGAGGAUGAUCAGCCACACUGGAACUGAGACACGGUCCAGACUCCUACGGGAGGCAGCAGUGGGGAAUAUUGGACAAUGGGCGCAAGCCUGAUCCAGCCAUACCGCGUGGGUGAAGAAGGCCUUCGGGUUGUAAAGCGCUUUUGUUGGGAAAGAAAAGCAGCAGGUUAAUACCCCGCUGUUCUGACGGUACCCAAAGAAUAAGCACCGGCUAACUUCGUG